CGGAGGGAUCGGCCUGUUCUUAGCUGCUGGAUAUAUUGUUCUCAAGGUCUGCAUCCUCAGGAAGGAAUUCAGCAAAACCCGCACAGAUGGAAGCACGAAGAGACCUUCAGAGCUGCAGCCCAACAUGCUCGCUUUGAGCCAUCUCAGCUAAUCGGAGCAUCCCAGAGGAGGCGGUUUCCAAUGACAAGCAAUGUUAAAGGUCGGGCGGAGUGAUUUGCAGCAUGAUGGUGAACCCUGCAGAGGUGGCAUCUUGGUGAAAGGUCAACCAGGCGGGCCCCGUUGUCCGCUCACGUUUUGUCUCACGACAACCUAAAUCUGUGUCAUCCUUGCAUUUGAACUUCAAUAACGUGUAUCAUUAUGGUUUUCACGAUCCGAUUUGUAAUAUAGCAUUUUUAUUUGGCUGUGGAGUUGUGUUGUUGGAAACACAUAGAAGGUUUCAGCCAUUUAAGAGACUGAACAUGUGUUUUGUUUCACUCUUUCUUGGGAAAAUCCAACUGCUCCACUGACACACAUACUGCCCAUGGAUUAUUUAGCACCACUCAGCAGAAAACCUCUGGACUAAUAAGCACUUCACAUAUUUCCCACAAGGGAGUGACAUUUACCUCCAAGAAUAAGAAAAACAACAACCGUAGACCAACUUUAGUCCAGUUACACAUCUGAACACCAGCGGAGCCUUGUAAACAAAGCUUUGUAAUUUGAUGACUUGUAUUUACGCCUGAACAUAAAGGGAUGGGACAUUUAAUCACAUCUGGAUCAUAAUAAUGUGGUCCCAGUUCCCCCCUCAUGAAGUCCCAUAUAUUAGACAUCAAAGAUCAUC